rnacentral:lncRNA from 1 species
GUCAUAUUAACUUAUUUGUAGAUCUUACUUUGCUGAUCAUUUUUGCUGUUUACAGUUUAUCUUUAUCUAUAAUAAUAUUCAAGGUAAUGACCAAAAACUGCAAAAUUUCCUUAAAAUUACCAAUUAAGUGGCAGCAACCCAACAAUGGGUUGUUUGAUUCAUCUGAAAAUUUCAGGGCUGAUAGAUCUUGACCUAAUGAACAUUUUUACCUCAUGUCAGAUUUGCUCUAAAUGCUUUCGUUUUUGAGAUAUAAGCCAAAAACUGCAUUUGACCCCUAUGUUC